rnacentral:misc_RNA from 1 species
UGGGUUGGCGGGCUCAUUGCUUAGGCAUNGAACCNUCNGCGCGCGCUCCGCGUCAGUGAUGCAACAAGAAUUUCUUGUGCUUCGAAAGGAUUCCUGUAUUUGCUACCUAUUGUGAUGGAAUAGUGCCUCUCGUUGACCCUUUCCGUCCCCGGCCCGAGUAGUUAGGGGGAGGACAUCGUGGCAGUGCCUGUGCCCCCUCGCAUUGUCGUGCCCUUAUGCGCGCACCUUGCUGUGGGUUCCCAGGUUGCAGCUUGAUGUCUCGGAUACGGAAUAUUCGGUGGGCUUGGGGGCUUUGCAGCCUUGAUGUCCAAUUCCAAGCGUUUUGUCGCUAGACAUGUACGACAGUCGUGCUCGUUGCGGGAUCUCCCGCACGCUGCCGGCGUCGGCAAAAGAAAAGCUACCUGGUU